UCCCUGGUAGUCCAGUGGUUAGGACUCAGAACUUUCACUGAUGAUGACCUGGGUUCGAUCCCUGGCUAGGGAA